AUGAUCAGAGUCCUGCUGCUCCUGCUGGCCGCAACCGGGCCAUUCUGCAACGUCGCACGCGCCAGUACGUUAGUGGUGCCCACAGCGGCUGAUGUAAGUUCAGUUACCGACGCUGCCGAGGCGGCGGCUGAGGAGAACCCGGCCGUGACCGAGGCCGCGGCGCCUGAGGCCACCGUUGCGCCUGAUGCUGAUGCAGAAACAGAAACGGAAGUCGCCACAAUUAUGCCGGGAGACUCGGACGCCAUUACAGAUGCACCCGGCAUCGCAGACGAAGCUCCCGCUACUACUCCAGAGGUUCCAGUGGGUGCACCAGAAGCUCCGACGGCUGAACCAGAGGCUCCUGCUGCUGAGACGGAAGCCCCUGCCCGAGUAAAUGAGGAGACCCCAACUCCUGGAGAUCAGACACCAUCAGAGGCCACGAACGAAUCGCAGCCUGAAGAAACAGACAUUAUCAAGUCAGUGGUAGGGCACGAGGUCGAGUCGGCUCCGCCGGAGGAGGAAGGAAUUGUGGUGGAAGAUGGCUACUCUUCAGGCAUGCUGGUGGGCAUUGUGAUUGGGGCACUGAUCGCCGUGGCUGUGGUCAUCGCUGUAGUGGUGGUGGUGGUCCGGAGAAUGGGCCAGUACUCGAAUGCUAAGAAAAGAAAACCUCAAAAACCAGAGAGCCCCCUGAAGAGGAAAGCAGCGCGACAGGAGCCACAACCAAAGAAGUUCUGGAAGUUUUGAAGCACAGAGUGACAUCAUUUCCUGUCUUCUUCUUCUUCUUUUUUUUUUUUUUUUAAAUAAAGCAUACGCUACCAGCA
rnacentral:lncRNA from 1 species